rnacentral:lncRNA from 1 species
GCUGCAGCUUUUGAGUUUUUCAUGACCCUUAGGCAAUCUCAAUCUCAGUAUACUGUGGGGAGCGGUGUCAGCCAAAAAGCUUCAUUUUAAUUUUACCCUUUGUUAUAAAUGGCCAGGAGACUAUGUAAUGGGGAACCGUGUCUCUCCACUAACUCCGAUGUUUCCCUUUAGAGUUUGCCCUAGUAACAAGGUGAACCUUCUGUAACCCCAGGAAACAAAGUAGCCCAUGAGGGCGAGGAGUGUCUAGAAAACGAGCAACAAAUGAAGCAGGUGUUUUGGAUAAAGGUCAUGGUUAAUGACCUAACUCACUGAGUGUAUAAAAGAGAGGUGAAAAUAAACUUGCUUGCUCGGUCUUGGGAGCCCUCCUGACACUGUCUCCUCUCUUGAUUUUUUCCUCAGUCCUCCUUUCCCCCAUUCAGGAACUGUUCGACUGGUGACGGCUGGUCCGUCACAGGUGGCACCCGAACAGGGACCUGAAUACGAGGGAUACCAGAGUGAAGGACGCCGCAGGAAUACGAGGGCGCUCGGGAAGGACAGCUGUGGAGAUGCUUGAAGACACAUAAUGUCUCUGUGAGAAGACACGUCUACUGCCCUUCAUAGCUUCAGCAUCCCUGGAGUGGACUGAAGACAUCAGCUGAAUGGAGAGCCCAAGUGCUAUUUUGAUGAUCUGGAUCUACAGCUUCUCUUUUGUGUGGUAUCGCUACAUUUUUGUUAAUGCCGGAACCAGGAUGUAUCCAAGUUGUUCCCUGUUUUUUGUAUACUCCAGGACAUCUGGAUGAGAAGCCAUGGGAGUCUUGUUUGCUGACUGGUGUGGUGAGGAAAGGCAGAAAACGAAGAAUGACAAGCAACUAUGACCUUCACUCUCAGCUCUCCAAGUGCUUCCCUCCCAGCAUUUCCUGUCCUCAACUCCAGCCACAGCAUCUCCUUAUCCUGUGGCUCUCUCUCUAUUUGUCACUCCCCUCCCAGGAGAAUAUUAAAAUCAAUUCCCCCAUCCUGCCUCUGGGCCUUUUUAUAACUAUCCCUCACUCCACCACAUAGAAUAUGUGCUGCUCAUCAUGUUUAGUACAUGGUGAUAAUGUACCCAUCAUAGGAUCCAGCUCCUUAUCCAUUCUGGUUCUAGGUCUCUUCAGUACUCAUAGGAAAUCAGAGUUAUUUUGACUUUGAAGCACUCAAGGGACUGUUCUCGAGUUUUCUCCUUUGAUCACUCUGUGAUCUAUCAAAUGCGAAGUCAGAGCUUUGGAGACAGUUUCUUCUUCUGCAGGAUCUAGUAGAAUAGAGUGACCCCUCACAUAGGGAGGGCUUCCAGGGCUUUCCUGAAUGCAGGUUCUCCUCCCAGGCAUGCAGCCCAUUGAGCUUCAUGGUUCAGAAUUGAAUUCCACGUAGUAGACUUGCCUGAACCCACUCUUUUCUGGUU